rnacentral:rRNA from 1 species
GACGAAGGUGGCGAGCGUUGUUUGGAAUCACUGGGCAUAAAGCGCACGUAGGCGGCGAUGUAAGUCGGGUGUGAAAUCCCUCGGCCCAACCGAGGAACUGCGCCCGAAACUGCAUUGCUUGAGGAUCAAAGGGGUGCUCGGAAUUUCCGGUGGAGCGGUGAAAUGCGUUGAUAUCGGAAGGAACGUCGGCGGCGAAAGCGGAGCACUGGUUGAUUUCUGACGCUGAGGUGCGAAAGCCAGGGGAGCAAACGGG